GAUGAACGCUGGCGGCGUGCCUAAUACAUGCAAGUCGAGCGAACGGACGAGAAGCUUGCUUCUCUGACGUUAGCGGCGGACGGGUGAGUAACACGUGGAUAACCUACCUAUAAGACUGGGAUAACUUCGGGAAACCGGAGCUAAUACCGGAUGAUAUUUUGAACCGCAUGGUUCAAAAGUGAAAGACGGUCUUGCUGUCACUUAUAGAUGGAUCCGCGCUGCAUUAGCUAGUUGGUAAGGUAACGGCUUACCAAGGCAACGAUGCAUAGCCGACCUGAGAGGGUGAUCGGCCACACUGGAACUGAGACACGGUCCAGACUCCGACGGGAGGCAGCAGUAGGGAAUCUUCCGCAAUGGGCGAAAGCCUGACGGAGCAACGCCGCGUGAGUGAUGAAGGUCUUCGGAUCGUAAAACUCUGUUAUUAGGGAAGAACAUAUGUGUAAGUAACUGUGCACAUCUUGACGGUACCUAAUCAGAAAGCCACGGCUAACUACGUG
rnacentral:rRNA from 1 species